GACGAACGCUGGCGGCGUGCUUAACACAUGCAAGUCGAACGGAAAGGCCCUGCUUUUGUGGGGUGCUCGAGUGGCGAACGGGUGAGUAACACGUGAGUAACCUGCCCUUGACUUUGGGAUAACUUCAGGAAACUGGGGCUAAUACCGGAUAGGAGCUCCUGCUGCAUGGUGGGGGCUGGAAAGUUUCGGCGGUUGGGGAUGGACUCGCGGCUUAUCAGCUUGUUGGUGGGGUAGUGGCUACCAAGGCUUUGACGGGUAGCCGGCCUGAGAGGGUGACCGGCCACAUUGGGACUGAGAUACGGCCCAGACUCCUACGGGAGGCAGCAGUGGGGAAUAUUGCACAAUGGGCGGAAGCCUGAUGCAGCAACGCCGCGUGCGGGAUGACGGCCUUCGGGUUGUAAACCGCUUUCGCCUGUGACGAAGCGUGAGUGACGGUAAUGGGUAAAGAAGCACCGGCUAACUACGUG
rnacentral:rRNA from 1 species